rnacentral:misc_RNA from 1 species
ACCAUAUGAAUGCGGGCCGGGAAUCCCAAAAAUAUUUGCUUUGCCUCUCGUAUCCGCCACAUAACUGUGGCGUUGAAGAAAACGACUUUGGUAGGCGUAUUUUUGCCCCGUCUGUCUGAAUAUUCACCCAUGUCUUUUUGCGUACUAUUUGUUUCCUUGGUAGGCUCGCCUGCCAAUAGGACACCCUAAAACCAUUUGUAAUUGCAGUCAGCGUCAGAAAAACUUAAUAGUUA